GAUGAAGAACGCAGCGAAAUGCGAUACUUGGUGUGAAUUGCAGAAUCCCGUGAACCAUCGAGUCUUUGAACGCAAGUUGCGCCCGAAGCCACUAGGCCGAGGGCACGCCUGCCUGGGCGUCACACGUCGUUGCCCCCCCCCCAUCUACUCCUUCGGGAUUGCGGGGGGCGGAUGAUGGCCUCCCGUGCGCCUAGCCGCGCGGUUGGCAUAAAUACCAAGUCCUCGGCGACGCACGCCACGACAAUCGGUGGUUGCGAAACCUCGGUUGCCCGUCGUGUGCGUUCGUCGCGCAUCGAGGGCUCGAAAAAAUGCUCGGCUCCGGCUGGGCUUUCAACGCGACCCCAGGUCAGGCGGGGUUACCCGCUGAAUUUAAGCAUAUCAAUAAGCGGAGGA
rnacentral:misc_RNA from 1 species